rnacentral:tRNA from 1 species
GCCGGUGUGGUGGAAUUGGUAGACACGAGGGACUUAAAAUCCCUUUCCCGCGAGGGAGUGCCGGUUCGAUUCCGGCCGCCGGUACCA